UAUAGUUAAACUCCAAAAUAUUUUUGUAAAAACCAAAAGAUCCAACUAAUAAUGGAGGACAUACGCAUCAUACUCCACAACAGCAUCCCCAGUUUUUGGGUUGUAAUUGUGAGUUCUCGCCUGAACAUACCCACGAGCAAACCUGAACAGCCCACUUCCACCAAUGAUCGGCAUCUCCCUCACGGUUAAAAGCACCACGUUACGCCCCAAAACGCUGAGACCACUUCCGUUAUAUUUGCCUUCCAUGAAAGCAAAGUUCAUA
rnacentral:misc_RNA from 1 species